rnacentral:rRNA from 1 species
UACGGAGGAUGCAAGCGUUAUCCGGAAUUAUUGGGCGUAAAGCGUCCGCAGGUGGCGAUGUAAGUCUGCUGUUAAAGAGUCUAGCUCAACUAGAUAAGAGCAGUGGAAACUACAUAGCUAGAGUACGUUCGGGGCAGAGGGAAUUCCUGGUGUAGCGGUGAAAUGCGUAGAGAUCAGGAAGAACACCAGUGGCGAAGGCGCUCUGCUAGGCCGUAACUGACACUGAGGGACGAAAGCUAGGGGAGCGAACAGG